rnacentral:lncRNA from 1 species
AUCAGUGCCUUGAUGACAAGGGAAUUGGAAUCCAUUAAAUCUGCACCGCAAGUAUCCGUAUUUCAUCAAGAUAAGCCUAAAACUGUUCCUGUUUCAGUUCCCUGUAGUGCGGAUUCUCCUAAAAGACAAGCAAGAAAAUCAUCAGAUGAAGCAAGCAGCAGUGGCUGUAGCAAUACCAUUAAUCGUAGAAGCCCUGAAACACCUCGGAAAAUGAAAAGCUUUAGCAAAAGCACUCACCGAAUGCCAAUGCUCCGCUCUGAGAAUGUUACAUUGGAUAGAACUCCUAGUAGGGAGAAAACAAACAAGAAAGGACCUAACAUUGUGGAAGUUGUGGACAUAA